GCAGGUACAAGCUUGGAGUAGAUACCGACAGGCCGGGCUUCCUCCAAUCUACACCUCCACUCUAUCUCUCUCAAUCUAAUAGAAACUAGAAGAUCUAUUUCUACCUUACAUUGGUUGCUAAGCCUAAAAAGAAAUAUUAAUUAGAGAAAAGGUUUUCCUUCGAGGGCACCCCUCAGUCUCUAUGAUAAUUUCUUCAUGUCUUCUCCAGGGGCCAGGGGGGUCUCCUUAUAUAGUCCUCCCCUUCUAUGCAUUUUUGGGUCGAUAGGCGAGGUGGUACUAUGUUUUUCUUGAUCCAAUAGGUCGUUGGAAUAUCCCGAGCGAAGAGAGUCCUGAUCUGGUUUCAACAGGGGGCGGGCGCCCAGGUCACUAGGGCGGGCGCCCUGGACCUGGCCCCUUUCGGCCUCUGUCUUCUUCCCGUGGCUUCUGGAAUCUUCUAGAUGGUGUAAAAUCACGCGGUGCGUUGAUAUCUCUAUGUAAUCCCGACAUGUGGGCCUUUCUUCCUUAUUUCCUGAUAACCCCCUGCAGAAACAGAUAAACAACAAAACUCGUGGAAUUCUGUCAGAUCAAACCCUAAUUCUAGGUGUUGGUUGCAUAUGGGUCCUUUCUCUUGUUUAUUUGAUAAUUAAAAUUGAUACUUAAGAAACGUCAACAGAUACCAAGGAACAAGUAACUAGGAACAGAGUGGUGAAAAUCUAUAAAGUUGUGUGGAGUC
rnacentral:lncRNA from 1 species